rnacentral:rRNA from 1 species
AGUGGCGGACGGGUGAGUAACGCGUAAGAAUCUACCUUCAGGUUCGGGACAACCACUGGAAACGGUGGCUAAUACCGAAUGUGCCGAGAGGUGAAAGGCUUGCUGCCUGAAGAAGAGCUUGCGUCUGAUUAGCUAGUUGGUGUGGUAAAGGCGCACCAAGGCGACGAUCAGUAGCUGGUCUGAGAGGAUGAUCAGCCACACUGGGACUGAGACACGGCCCAGACUCCUACGGGAGGCAGCAGUGGGGAAUUUUCCGCAAUGGGCGAAAGCCUGACGGAGCAAUACCGCGUGAGGGAGGAAGGCUCUUGGGUUGUAAACCUCUUUUCUCAGGGAAUAAAAAAAUGACGGUACCUGAGGAAUAAGCAUCGGCUAACUCCGUGCCAGCAGCCGCGGUAAUACGGAGGAUGCAAGCGUUAUCCGGAAUGAUUGGGCGUAAAGGGUCCGCAGGUGGCAUUGUUUGUCUGCUGUUAAAGAGUCUGGCUCAACCAGAUCAAAGCAGUGGAAACUACAAAGCUAGAGUAUGAUCGGGGCAGAGGGAAUUCCUGGUGUAGCGGUGAAAUGCGUAGAUAUCAGGAAGAACACCGGUGGCGAAGGCGCUCUGCUAGGCCAAAACUGACACUGAGGGACGAAAGCUAGGGGAGCGAAUGGGAUUAGAUACCCCAGUAGUCCUAGCCGUAAACGAUGGAUACUAGG